GAUGAACGCUGGCGGCGCGCCUAACACAUGCAAGUCGAACGGCACCCCUCUCCGGAGGGAAGCGAGUGGCGAACGGCUGAGUAACACGUGGAGAACCUGCCCCCUCCCCCGGGAUAGCCGCCCGAAAGGACGGGUAAUACCGGAUACCCCGGGGUGCCGCAUGGCACCCCGGCUAAAGCCCCGACGGGAGGGGAUGGCUCCGCGGCCCAUCAGGUAGACGGCGGGGUGACGGCCCACCGUGCCGACAACGGGUAGCCGGGUUGAGAGACCGACCGGCCAGAUUGGGACUGAGACACGGCCCAGACUCCUACGGGAGGCAGCAGUGGGGAAUUUUGCGCAAUGGGGGAAACCCUGACGCAGCAACGCCGCGUGCGGGACGAAGGCCUUCGGGUUGUAAACCGCUUUCAGCAGGGAAUAUAGUGAAGGUAC
rnacentral:rRNA from 1 species